rnacentral:rRNA from 1 species
AUUGAACGCUGGCGGCAGGCCUAACACAUGCAAGUCGAGCGGACGAAGGGAGCUUGCUCUUGGAUUCCGCGGCGGACGGGUGAGUAAUGCCUAGGAAUCUGACUGGUAGUGGGGGCUAACGUCAGGAAACGAGCGCUAAUACCGCAUACGUCCUGAGGGAGAACGUGGGGGAUCUUCGGACCUCACGCUAUCAGAUGAGCCUAGGUCGGAUUAGCUAGUUGGUGGGGUAAAGGCCUACCAAGGCGACGAUCCGUAACUGGUCUGAGAGGAUGAUCAGUCACACUGGAACUGAGACACGGUCCAGACUCCUACGGGAGGCAGCAGUAGGGAAUAUUCGACAAUGGGCGAAAGCCUGAUGCAGCCAUGCCGCGUGAGUGAAGAAGGUCUUCGGAUUGUAAAGCACUUUAAGUAGGGAGGAAGGACAGUAAGAGAAAACCUUGCUGUUUUGACGUUACCAACAGAGAAAGCACCGGCUAACUACGUG